rnacentral:tRNA from 1 species
CGGGCAGUAGCUCAGUGGUACAGCCUCCGCUUUAUAUGGGGAAAGAUCUGGUUUCGAUUCCCGGCUGCUUCA